AAAGACUCCAUUUUUGGGUUUUGUGUCUAACGUUUGACCGUUCGUUUUAUUUGAAUUUUUUUAUGAUUAUAUUUUUAUUGUUAUUAGAUGAUAAAACAUGAAUAAUACUUUAUGCGUGACUUAUUUUUUAAAAAUCUUUCAUAAAUUUUUCAAAAAAACGGAUGGUCAAACAUUGGAUACAAGAACCCAAAAAUGGAGUCCUC
rfam:Oryza punctata chromosome 11, whole genome shotgun sequence.